CACGUAGGGUGCGAGCGUUGUCUGGAAUUAUUGGGCGUAAAGAGCUCGUAGGCGGUGUGUCGCGUCGGCCGUGAAAACCUGCAGCUUAACUGUGGGCUUGCGGUCGAUACGGGCAUCACUGGAGUUCGGCAGGGGAGACUGGAAUUCCUGGUGUAGCGGUGAAAUGCGCAGAUAUCAGGAGGAACACCGGUGGCGAAGGCGGGUCUCUGGGCCGAUACUGACGCUGAGGAGCGAAAGCGUGGGGAGCGAACAGG
rnacentral:rRNA from 1 species